AACCGUUGGAGGAGGCGUAUCGUUGCCGGCCGACGAUCUCGCGUCCGUAAUAUCGUGGGCUCGGUGCAAUGCUGUUUGCAUAGGGAUGUUUGUACCCAGAUAGUGGUUCCCGCGUUCGAGGAUUUACUGUGCAGUGACUCAAUGUGUACCCUGGACGAAUGCUCGCCAAUACUUUUGUGAAAGUGUGUUUGAUUUUACAAAUAAAUAAGAACAAUAAUCAAAUAAUAAAAAAAGUCAUUUAUUAUAACAGUGACAUAUCUACGUGUUUGUUACAAAUACCCAAGAUCUACUUGUACCUGUAAUUUGACAAAUAAUAAACGGCCAAACUCGCGUUCGCGUCAUGCCAUCUAUGAUUAAGGGUCCCGGAUGGUCCCAAAAGUAGUCGAGCAUUCACGACAAAAAUACAAGUA
rnacentral:lncRNA from 1 species